CCCUUAGAUGUUCUGAACCGCACGCGUGUUACACUGAUGGAUUCAACAAGCAUAUAACCUUGACUGAGAAGUCUGGGCAAUCUUUUUAAUGUCCAUCGUGAUAGGGAUAGAUUAUUGCAAUUAUUAAUCUUGAACGAGGAAUUCCUAGUAAACGCAGAUCAUCAAUCUGCAUUGAUUACGUCCCUGCCCUUUGUACACACCGCCCGUCGCACCUACCGAUUGAGCGUUCCGGUGAAACCUCGGGAUUGUAGUUGAUUCCUUUACUGGAAUCUCCCGCGAGAACUUGUUUGAACCUUAUCGCUUAGAGGAAGGUGAAGUCGUAACA
rnacentral:rRNA from 1 species